rnacentral:lncRNA from 1 species
AGCACAUGCCCAGGAAGGCAAAGGGAAGAAGGGUGGGGGGUAACCCCCUGCCCUCUCCUGGGAGAACGAGGGAGCCACUCCUAGCCUGGGGAGGCCCUGGAAUGGAAACUGGGGCUGUAGACUCCAUGCUUGGUUCUGCCCAGAGCACUUGGUCUCCUUGUGCCAGCUCUGAGCUAAGAAAGGGAGAGAGGAGAGAGAGCCAGCCAGAGGGGCCGUGGAGAGGAGAGACGUUUCAGAGCCCUUGCCUCCUUCACCAUGCCGGUUGCCGCCACCAACUCUGAAACUGCCAUGCAGCAAGUCCUGGACAACUUGGGAUCCCUCCCCAGUGCCACGGGGGCUGCAGAGCUGGACCUGAUCUUCCUUCGAGGCAUUAUGGAAAGUCCCAUAGUAAGAUCCCUGGCCAAGGCCCAUGAGAGGCUGGAGGAGACGAAGCUGGAGGCCGUGAGAGACAACAACCUGGAGCUGGUGCAGGAGAUCCUGCGGGACCUGGCGCAGCUGGCUGAGCAGAGCAGCACAGCCGCCGAGCUGGCCCACAUCCUCCAGGAGCCCCACUUCCAGUCCCUCCUGGAGACGCACGACUCUGUGGCCUCAA